CAGAUGGGAGAAGUGCGGUACAACUUAAAAAUUAUUUAUGGUGGUUUGCUUCAAAUUACACCCAAUAUAAAGUAUAUGGGUGGUUUAAUUAAGGAAUAUAGGGAAUAUGAUGGUGACUUUAUCAGUUUUUUUGAAUUGAAUGGUUUAGCUAGUGAUCUUGAUCAAGCUACAAGGCGCGACAUUUAUUACUUACAGCCUAACUCAAAUCAUAUUCUAAAGAAGAUUAGCAAUGAUCAGGAUGUAGUUCAAAUGCUACAAGAACAUGGGCAAUUAAGAACUAUUGUCUUACAUGUUGAUAGCUAUUAUGAGCCGAUGAUAGUGAAUGACAAGUCUAAAAGCAAUAAGGUGCAGUCAACUCCUCAAACAGAUAAAUGGAAUGUAUCUAGCAAAGAUGUCGCUAAUAAAGGAGAUGUAAAUGAAGAAAUAUGUGAGGUGAGGCUUGAUCGGGGAGAUGUCCAUCGUAUAGAUACUGAAGUAGAUAAAGGCAAUGAUGUUGAGGGAAGUGAGAGUAAGAGUGAUGAUGAUGAUAACAUAAAAGAUGAUGAAGAAGACAGUGAUCCCAGUUUUUUCAACUAUGGUAUUGAAGGCUCAGAUGAUGAUAACACAUUUAAAUUUGAUUUGCAUCAAAGAGGACCUACAAGGUCCUCUAAAAGUGUUAUUAUAUAUAAAGGUGGGAAUUCUCUAGAAACUACAAUUGAAAGUGCUUUAUUGAUGAUUUUGGUAGUCCAGAGGAUCUAGGACUAGUGUUUAUCUCUGAUAGGCAAAAGGGCUUAGUUCAAGUGUUUGAAGAAAAAUUGCCUAAUGUGGAGCAUAGAUAUUGCAUGAGGCAUUUAUAUAACAACUUCAAAGAGUUGCAUAAAGGUAAAGAAUUAAAAGAUGCAAUGUGGCAGUGUGCAAAUGCCACAACAACUAGAGAGUUUGAAAGAAAAAUCUCACCAAAUGGAAGAACUAAAGAAGCUAGAUAAGGAUGCAUACGACUGGUUAAGAAAAAUCUCACCAAAUCAGUGGUCCAAGGCAUAUUUUUCUAGUAGGGCAAAAUCAGACAUUCUUGUGAAUAACCUCUCAGAGUCCUUUAAUAGUUGUAUUUUGGAAGCAAGAGAUAAACCUAUCGUAUCAAUGCUAGAAUGGAUUCGGGUGAGAUUGAUGAAAAAGUUCUAUAUAAAAAGGGAAGGAAUGGAGAAAUAUAGAGGGCCAAUAUGCCCAAACAUUCAAAAGAAGUUGGAGAAAUUGAAAGUAGAUGCACGACAUUGCUUCCCAAUUCCAUGUGGAAGGCUAAAGUAUGAGGUUGAUUGCUUGGAUGGUAAGCAUGCGGUGGAUUUGGUAGAAAGGCAAUGUAGUUGUAGGUUGUGGGAUCUAACAGGAAUCACGUGCAAACAUGCCAUUGCAGCAAUUUUCACCAACAAGGAAAGGCCUGAGGACUAUUUACAUCAGUGUUAUACCAAGGCAGUUUAUCUUAAGGUGUAUGAAGAGAUUAUCAAUCCAAUUCCUGGACAAAAUGAAUGGAUAAAGACUUCAAUGCCAGCUCCAGUGCCUUGGCGUAUAAAAAGCCACCAGGGAGACCUUAGAAGCUUAGGAGAAAAGCUGCAGAUGAACCUUUAAACCCUUACAAAGUAUCGAGAAUGGAUAAACCAAUAAAGUGUGGAAAAUACGGCAAAGGAGGCCACAAUUUGAGGACAUGUACAGCAUCAGUCACAGGGGAGACAUUAUGGCAGAGGGUGAGAACCCAAAAAGAAAAACAGCCUAUGUUCUCUACUGAGAGAGUAGCUAAUGCAACAGCAAAAGGUUUAGCACCAGUCAGAGGAAGAGGAAGAGCAAGAGGUGGACGAGGUUCCGCGGCUAAUGCUGCAGCCAAAAAAGCAAAUGAAGGGCCUUCUAAAGCUACAAACAUUCCAUAAAUGCUAGCUGAUAACUUUCAAAAGCUGUUGGAGGACAAGGCCUUCUAAAGCUACACUACUAUUUUAUCAUACUUUUUUGCCUAAUUUUCAUUUCCAUUCACACUCAGUAACAACCCAAUGUAGAGAUUCACCUCUAAAAAAAAGAGAGAACCCCUAUUAAGGUAUCACAAAUUUCACACAUCAACAACACCUCACUCCAUCCACCAUACUAGAUCAAAGCCCAAUCAACAAAAAAAGAAAUUAACAUCGAAAUCACAAAAUCAUAUCAACAGUAAGAAUCGACACU